UGGGGAAUUUUGGACAAUGGGCGAAANCCUGAUCCAGCAAUGCCGCGUGUGUGAAGAAGGCCUUCGGGUUGUAAAGCACUUUUGUCCGGAAAGAAAUCCUUGGCUCUAAUACAGUCGGGGGAUGACGGUACCGGAAGAAUAAGCACCGGCUAACUACGUGCCAGCAGCCGCGGUAAUACGUAGGGUGCAAGCGUUAAUCGGAAUUACUGGGCGUAAAGCGUGCGCAGGCGGUUUGCUAAGACCGAUGUGAAAUCCCCGGGCUCAACCUGGGAACUGCAUUGGUGACUGGCAGGCUAGAGUAUGGCAGAGGGGGGUAGAAUUCCACGUGUAGCAUGAAAUGCGUAGAGAUGUGGAGGAAUACCGAUGGCGAAGGCAGCCCCCCUGGGCCAAUACUGACGCUCAUGCACGAAAAGCGUGGGGAGCAAAACAGGAUUAGUACCCCUGGUAGUCCACGCCCUAAACGAUGUCAACUAGUUGUUGGGGAUUCAUUUCCUUAGUAACGUAGCUAACGCGUGAAGUUGACCGCCUGGGGAGUACGGUCGCAAGAUUAAAACUUAAAGGAAUUGAC
rnacentral:rRNA from 1 species